GAAAGCAAGUGAGAUCUUGAGGGGGGGGGCUUUAGAAUUAGAUCCUGCAGAAGUUCCAGGCGGAGCAUUAGGCUGGGGUCAGAUGGCACCCGCCGUGUGCUGACUAUCUCUUGGGGGUUCUGAGCACUUACAGUGGAUGUUCACGUGCUAGUUUCCAGUGUAACUUGAUGCGCAGUCUGCAGUGCGCAGCUAUGGUGGGAAUGCAGAAUCCCACAAGUGCUCAGUGUUCUACAGCAGCAGAGGCCGUCAGGGUACCUCCCUUCUCAGGACCUAAUUACCACGGGAUCAAGGGGCUUUGCUGAGGACAGCUUGUCCCGAGGAGAAGCAACAUCGAAGGGGCAUCUGUCUCAUUUGAGGACAACAGAAGCAACUGGGAAACGCCAACUAUGCAUUAAACUAAUAUACGCCAUACCGCUAGGAAAGCUGAAUAAUGGCCACCCUGUUGACCAAUGGCUAGAGCAGCGGCCCUCUAUCCCGCCCUCCCAGAUGCAGUCCAAGGGAGAGCACAGCUGCAAAAAUGGCCUGUACCACAACCUGACCAAGACCUGACCAAGGACCUUACCUUCACCAUCACCAGCUAACAGCUGCCACCAGGAUACCCAGUCUGGGCCAUACCCCAGGUACACUCACCUGGCCCCGCAGCUCUGGGACGCUGAAACAAAGAGGAAACCUGACUCUAUCAGCAAACAGACCACAGAUGCAGAAAGAAGCUUCACAGGGCCACUGGUUGACCAACGAUGCCUUUGUAAGAAUUCAAAAGCUGCCCCUCCUUUGGGCCUGUACAAGAGCAUCAGGGUGUGUGGAUUUGGUGAACUGAAGACAAAUUGGGCUGAGUUCAGUUUGUCUGCUCUUCUGCUCAAACACAGCUGUGGCUGGUGGGGAGCUCCUGUUUGUGGACUAAGGAGGAGGGCCUAGAAUGCUCCUGUAGUGGGUAGCCAUUCCAGCUUUUGGUCUGGAAGUUCCAACCCCCAUCGAGGCUUCCGUAACUAUCACGCCUACAAGGCGGGGCCAAGGGAGGGCCCUGAAGACCUGAGAUCGGGAUGUGCCGGACUCUCUUCCUUCUGGGAUCAUGGAUGCUAGAGGUGGACUGAGGAGAGAGCUCCAGAGAACACCGCUGGACUGUGCUGCGUCUUUCACAGAACCCACAACCUACAUAUCCCUUCAUUUGUAAGU